rnacentral:lncRNA from 1 species
ACUUCUGCUGAGGCGUGCGCUCGCCGGCUGGAGUCCCACCUCUUGCUGCAGUCCGGCGAGACUCCUGGGACGAAUCCAUUCUUUCUCCUACUUCCUCUCUAGCAGGCACUCUGAGUCCUCCGCAAAAGAAUGUGCAGGAUCAGAGGCCUCUUUCCAUUCUGCAAGGGUCACGCAAGACCCAUGGAAUUCAACAGGAGGCAAUCUAGGGACUAUAAAAGGUCGCGACGUCUGGCUUGAGGUUAAUGGAAGUUACAAAGGGUCAAAAGCCGACAGUGAGCGCUACCAGGCCGCCCUGUGGGCUCAGGAUAGUUUCCCACCUACUCGACUGUAAUUAGUACUCUGGCGAGAGUAAAAAGGUACUGGCGUGGGACUUAGAAUACAGGAUGCCACCGGCUGAAGAAGAACCUUGUGUGUUUGGAAAAGCGGGCUGCUUCCUAUCGGUCUUGGAUAAAAGGCAACCCAGAGCCCGGGUGCAUCCCUAACUCAUGCCCAAGGAAGGUCGUGCGGAGCCAGAGGACCUAGAAUGUAUAGUGCGCCUUCUGGGUUUGUCCACACAAUAGCGCAGGAACACAGCGACCCAAUAUAGUGAGAAGUGGCCGCAGCGCACACCCUGAGACCCUUCACCAGGCGGCCCACCCGGAGCCUGCCUACUCAGCCCCGCUACCACGAUAAGCCUGGAAUGUCAAAUAUUUGUUCUAGGAACCCAGUGAAACCUUGAGGUCUUCGCUACAGGCUCAGGUUCAGUGAGGCAGAGUCUUGGCUUCCCUACCCAGUUAUCCCAGAGCUACUGGUAUCGGUUUCUACCCACAACCUCCGAGCAAGGCUCCCCUUUCAACCUGUAGACCUCGCCUCCCGAUUCUCGGGAGAUCUUGCUGACUGUGGAAUCCCUGGCUGUUCCGAACCCCCUGGAAAGAAGCGGCUGUUCCCAGGUUUCUGCAAGGUAACGAAUCUGAAGAGUCAACAGAAUUGAGCGGCUCCAUUCAUUCGACUCUGGUUCUCUCAACCAGGCAUUCCCCAUAUUAAAACAAUUCCAGAACUUCAAA